UACAAUCCAGUUGUCAUCUCCUUCUCAUGC
rnacentral:piRNA from 1 species